AGCAAUAGGGCUUGAACCUUGAGUCCCACCUUGACUCAGGCUCAGAUCUUCCACCCCUGUGGGGUGCUGGGAGCCAAGCCCUGAAUUGGGAUAUUUUGCAUGUAGAUGGAAGGGGGGUUAGGAUUGAGCCUGAGCUCAAAUCCUGGGUUUACACUGCAGUGUAAACAUACUCUUUUGUUACAAGAUGUGUUUUGUUGCAUAUAUAACAGGAGUACUUGUGGCACCUUAGAGACUAAC